rnacentral:rRNA from 1 species
CGGGCCUCUCGCGUCAGGAUAUGCCUAGGUGGGAUUAGCUAGUUGGUGAGGUAAGGGCUCACCAAGGCGACGAUCCCUAGCUGGUCUGAGAGGAUGAUCAGCCACACUGGAACUGAGACACGGUCCAGACUCCUACGGGAGGCAGCAGUGGGGAAUAUUGCACAAUGGGCGCAAGCCUGAUGCAGCCAUGCCGCGUGUGUGAAGAAGGCCUUCGGGUUGUAAAGCACUUUCAGUCGUGAGGAAGGUGGUGUAGUUAAUAGCUGCAUCAUUUGACGUUAGCGACAGAAGAAGCACCGGCUAACUCCGUGCCAGCAGCCGCGGUAAUACGGAGGGUGCGAGCGUUAAUCGGAAUUACUGGGCGUAAAGCGCAUGCAGGUGGUUUGUUAAGUCAGAUGUGAAAGCCCGGGGCUCAACCUCGGAAUAGCAUUUGAAACUGGCAGACUAGAGUACUGUAGAGGGGGGUAGAAUUUCAGGUGUAGCGGUGAAAUGCGUAGAGAUCUGAAGGAAUACCGGUGGCGAAGGCGGCCCCCUGGACAGAUACUGACACUCAGAUGCGAAAGCGUGGGGAGCAAACAGGAUUAGAUACCCUGGUAGUCCACGCCGUAAACGAUGUCUACUUGGAGGUUGUGGCCUUGAGCCGUGGCUUUCGGAGCUAACGCGUUAAGUAGACCGCCUGGGGAGUACGGUCGCAAGAUUAAAACUCAAAUGAAUUGACGGGGGCCCGCACAAGCGGUGGAGCAUGUGGUUUAAUUCGAUGCAACGCGAAGAACCUUACCUACUCUUGACAUCCAGAGAACUUUCCAGAGAUGGAUUGGUGCCUUCGGGAACUCUGAGACAGGUGCUGCAUGGCUGUCGUCAGCUCGUGUUGUGAAAUGUUGGGUUAAGUCCCGCAACGAGCGCAACCCUUAUCCUUGUUUGCCAGCGAGUAAUGUCGGGAACUCCAGGGAGACUGCCGGUGAUAAACCGGAGGAAGGUGGGGACGACGUCAAGUCAUCAUGGCCCUUACGAGUAGGGCUACACACGUGCUACAAUGGCGCAUACAGAGGGCGGCCAACUUGCGAAAGUGAGCGAAUCCCAAAAAGUGCGUCGUAGUCCGGAUUGGAGUCUGCAACUCGACUCCAUGAAGUCGGAAUCGCUAGUAAUCGUGGAUCAGAAUGCCACGGUGAAUACGUUCCCGGGCCUUGUACACACCGCCCGUCACACCAUGGGGAGUGGGCUGCAAAAGAAGUAGGUAGUUUAACCUUCGGGGGGACGCUUACCACUUUGUGGUUCAUGACUGGGGUGAAUCU